CCUACGGGUGGCUGCAGUGGGGAAUAUUGGACAAUGGGCGAAAGCCUGAUCCAGCCAUGCCGCGUGUGUGAAGAAGGCCUUCGGGUUGUAAAGCACUUUCAGUGGGGAAGAAAGCCUUGGGGCUAAUACCCUCGAGGAAGGACAUCACCCACAGAAGAAGCACCGGCUAACUCCGUGCCAGCAGCCGCGGUAAUACGGAGGGUGCGAGCGUUAAUCGGAAUUACUGGGCGUAAAGCGCGCGUAGGCGGUCUGAUAAGCCGGUUGUGAAAGCCCCGGGCUCAACCUGGGAACGGCAUCCGGAACUGUCAGUCUAGAGUGCAGGAGAGGAAGGUAGAAUUCCCGGUGUAGCGGUGAAAUGCGUAGAGAUCGGGAGGAAUACCAGUGGCGAAGGCGGCCUUCUGGACUGACACUGACGCUGAGGUGCGAAAGCGUGGGUAGCAAACAGGAUUAGAUACCCCGGUAGUC
rnacentral:rRNA from 1 species